GUAAAGCACGGCGUGUAGUGAUGGGUUAAACAGCGAUUUUGUGUUAUUCUGAAGUGCCGGCUAAGCAUGAAGCGUGAGGGCCGUAUUAUAUGUAAAAGAUGUUUGUCAACGAUUUUUUUGGCCAAACAAUGGUAAAAUUUUUCGUCGUAGUUGUUCGGGAGCAGCUUACGUUGGACAAGACUUCUGCUACAGCGAAAUACGCAAUGGACGUAGUUCACAGAAGUUACCACAAGGGAGAGUAGUAACUUUGAAAACGAAAUUUUUGGAAGGCAGGAGGAUCUGUUUGUUAUUGUUUUCGUUUGCUGCAUUGAACUGUCGUAGUGACUCAGCAAUAAGCUUUGUGCUAUUUUGAGUUUUAAGAGACGAAAAGCGAGAUGCACAGUAGUUGGAGAGAAAAACAGGAGACGUGUAAUGAGUGAUGUCAUGGUCACCAUAUUGUAUAUCCUUGAGAUAGUGUACACCACGUUCAUGGCAUUACUGGUCAAAACAGGGCAGGAUUUGAGGAAGUCGUAUCCCUGCUGGAGAGCCACCUUCAGAGUCCGAUCCAGUCCCGGAAAGUAUCCUAUAAAAUCCAAGCAAGAACCACAUCACAAAUCCAGUACCACACAAGAACAGCUACAGGAUUGCACAACCAAAUGUUGUCUGCCAUCUCCCUAUGUUUUCUGGGAUGGUUACUAGGGAUAGGCCAUGGCCAGUACCCAAGAUUAUUACUUUUAUUUUACCAUCUGUGCCAAAUUAAUGUGUUUGGUAAUAUAUUAAUGUUAUGGGACUGUCAAUAGUAGUAUCAUAGAUAAAAUUUAAGAAAAUGAAAUGGCUUACAUUCCACAGUGAAAACCCACUGUCAUAAAAUGUUUAUUGAAGUGGAUGACACUUGUAUCUCAUGUGUUGGAGUUAGUGUUGAAAUGAAUGUGUUUUUUUAGUGUGUCAUG